GGGUAUGUAGCUCAGGUGGUAAGAGCGCACCCCUGAUAAGGGUGAAGGUCGUUGGUUCGAGUCCAAUCAGACCCA
rnacentral:tRNA from 1 species